UACAGAGGUCCCAAGCGUUGUUCGGAUUCAUUGGGCGUAAAGGGUGCGUAGGCGGCGCGGGAAGUCGGGUGUGAAAUCUCGGAGCUUAACUCCGAAACUGCAUUCGAUACUGCCGUGCUUGAGGACUGGAGAGGAGACUGGAAUUCCUGGUGUAGCGGUGGAAUGCGCAGAUAUCAGGAGGAACACCAAUGGCGAAGGCAGAUCUCUGGGCCGUAACUGACGCUGGAGGAGCGAAAGCAUGGGAGCGAACAGG
rnacentral:rRNA from 1 species